GGGUUUGUGGCUCAGUGGCAGAGCGCUUGCCUCGCACAUAUGAGGCACUGGGUUCAAUCCUCAGCACCA
rfam:Ictidomys tridecemlineatus contig059476, whole genome shotgun sequence.